rnacentral:rRNA from 1 species
CGGGGUGCACCAGGCGCGAAAACUUUACAAUGCACGAAAGUGUGAUAAGGGAAUCCAAAGUGCUCAUGUUUAACAUGGGCUUUUGCCAAGGGUAAAUACCUUGGAGAAUAAGUGGUGGGUAAGACUGGUGCCAGCAGCCGCGGUAACCCCAGCGCCACAAGUGGGAGCCACAAUUAUUUGGCCUAAAGCGUCCGUAGCUGGUUAUGUAAAUCUUUUGUGAAAUCGGAAGGCUCAACUUUCCGGCGUGCAGAAGACACUGCAUAACUUGAGAUUGGGAGGGGUAAGGAGUAUUCCUAGGGAACCGGUAAAAUGGGAUAAUCCUAGGAGGACUACCUGUGGCGAAGGCGCCUUACCAGAACAAGUCUGACAGUGAGGGACGAAGGCUAGGGGAGCGAACCGGAUUAGAUACCCGAGUAGUCCUAGCAGUAAACUCUGCGGGCUAGGUGUUACACCAUCUAUGUGAUUGUGUAGUGUCGUAGCGAAGGCAUUAAGCCCGCCGCCUGGGAAGUAUGGUCGCAAGACUGAAACUUAAAGGAAUUGGCGGGGGAGCAC